rnacentral:tRNA from 1 species
AUUUCUGGGGUGUAUUAUUUCAGCACAUUAGAUUUUCAUUCUAAAGGUAUAAAGUUUCUUUAUUAGAAAUA